CUGGUAUUGUCACCUAGCAGUGAGACUGGUGGGAAAUGACAGCGAUGGCAACUUUGGGGGAUAGCUUCUCCCAGUAAGGAAGGCAAAUUCUACAAAAAGAAUGAAGCACAGCAGAAAAAGUGAAGCGCUGGUUCUUACAAGGAAAAGAAGGAAAGCUUUUGCUGCUGGGAAGAUAAGAUCUUCUUCAGAUGGCCACAGAUGUGAAGAAUUAACCCAGUCGGAGCCAGCUUCAUGGACAUGCCAUCUGCACAGUUCCACGGAGAAGGGACCUGUACUUUGGAGAAACCUUCAAACAUGGACACAGAGACACGUGCAAGGAAGUACAUCACAUUCUUUGGGGGAAGUGGAACAACAGGAAGCAACCUACAUGUCCAUCAGCAAGGGGACUGCUAAGUAAGUGUGCAAGAGUGAAACGGGAUGUGGUGGUGAAGAAGAAGAAAAUAGACCUCUAUGUACCUACUGUAUUAGUCUGUUUUCACACUGCUGAUAAAGACAUACCCAAGACUGGGUAAUUUGUAAAGAAAAAGAAGUUUAAUGGACUCACAGUCCCACGUGGCUGGGGGGGGGGCUCACAAUCAUGGUGGAUGGCAAAAGGCACGUCUUACAUGGCAGCAGACAAGAGAGAAAUGAGAACCAAGCAAAAGGGAGACCCCUUAUAAAACCAUCAGCUCUUGUGAAACUUAUUCACUACCACGAGAAUAGUAUGGAGAAAACUGCUCCCAUGAUUCAAUUACCUCCCACUAGGUCCUUCCCACCACAUGUGGGAAUUAUGGGAGCUACAAUUCAAGAUAAGAUUUGGGUGAGGACCCAGCCAAGACAUAUCACCUACAUAAACAAAUCUUCAACACAUAUUUUUUAGAGAAAAAGACAAGUUGCACAAACAUCUUGUACCACAUGAAGCUUUUUUUAAACAACCAAAAGGUUCAGAAAACACAAAACUAUAUUUGUAUUUUCUAUAGGUACAUACACAUGUAUAAAAAUACAAAGGAAAUUCUGGCUGUUACAGAUGUGUGCUAAGAAAAAAUUUACUAGAAAAU
rnacentral:lncRNA from 1 species